rnacentral:rRNA from 1 species
GACGGGACCGCACAAGCGGUGGAUGAUGUGGUUAAUUCGAUACAACGCGAAAACCUUACCACCUUUGACAUGUACGGAAUCCUUUAGAGAUAGAGGAGUGCUCGAAAGAGAGCCGUAACACAGGUGCUGCAUGGCUGUCGUCAGCUCGUGUCGUGAGAUGUUGGGUUAAGUCCCGCAACGAGCGCAACCCUUGUCAUUAGUUGCUACAUUCAGUUGGGCACUCUAAUGAGACUGCCGGUGACAAACCGGAGGAAGGUGGGGAUGACGUCAAGUCCUCAUGGCCCUUAUAGGUGGGGCUACACACGUCAUACAAUGGAUGGUACAAAGGGUCGCCAACCCGCGAGGGGGAGCCAAUCCCAUAAAGCCAUUCGUAGUCCGGAUCGCAGUCUGCAACUCGACUGCGUGAAGUCGGAAUCGCUAGUAAUCGUGGAUCAGAAUGUCACGGUGAAUACGUUCCCGGGUCUU